rnacentral:rRNA from 1 species
UACAGAGGGGGCAAGCGUUGUUCGGAAUUACUGGGCGUAAAGGGCGCGUAGGCGGCCUUCUAAGUCGAACGUGAAAUCCCCGGGCUCAACCCGGGAACUGCGUCCGAUACUGGAAGGCUUGAAUCCGGGAGAGGGAUGCGGAAUUCCAGGUGUAGCGGUGAAAUGCGUAGAGUAUCUGGAGGAACACCGGUGGCGAAGGCGGCGAUCCUGGACCGGCAUUGACGCUGAGGC